GGGAUUCUAUGGGGCUCAGUGGGAUUCUGUGGGGCUCUGUUGAGCUCAAUGGGAUUCUAUGGGGCUCAAUGGGAUUCUGUAGGACUCUGUUGAACUCAGUGGGAUUCUAUGGGGCUCAAUGGGAUCCUAUGGGGCUCAAUGAGAUUCUAUGGGGCUCAAUGGGAUUCUACGGGGCUCAAUGGGAUUCUAUGGGCCUCUGUUGAACUCAAUGGGAUCCUGUGGGGUCUGAGUGCAAAUGUGUGGGUCUGAGCGCGGUUCUGUGGGGCGCUGUGGGGCGGACUCACGGCGCGGAUGGCGAGCCAGACUUGCAGGUAGCAGAGGAUGAUGAUGGCGAGGGGGAAGAAGCAGCACGUGACCAUCAGCACCACCAUGUAGGACUGCACCCCCGGGUCGGAGCUGCCGCUGAACACAUCCGGGCCGCACGACGUCUUCAGGCCGUGGGGCCAAUACCUGCCGGAGAUGGGCGGCGCGGUCCACGCGCAGGACCACAGCCAGGAGAAGAGGAUUCCCGCCACCGCCAACUUCCCGUCGAAUUUGAUGUUCCCGAACGGUUUGCACACCACGAACCACCGCUCCCACGAAAUGAUCGCCAGCGACCACAGCGCCGUAAUGCCUGCAGUGCACAGCGCCGCCCCAUAGAUCGGCACUGCCCCAUAGAUCCCUGCCCCACACAUCCCCGACCCACAGCGACCACAGCGCCGUAAUGCCUGCAGUGCACAGCACCACUGCCCCAUAGAUCCCUGCCCCACACAUCCCGGACCCACAGCGACCACAGCGCCGUAAUGCCUGCAAUGCACAGCACCACCGCCCCAUAGAUCCCUGCCCCACACAUCCCCGACCCACAGCGACCACAGCGCCGUAAUGCCUGCAACGUGCAAUGCGCAUCAGCACCACCCCACACAGCACCGCCCCAUAGAUUCCGGACCCACAGAGACCACAGCACCAUAAUGCCUGCGGCACACAGUGAGCAUCAGCACCACCGCCCCAUAGAUCCUGCACCGCCCCACACAUCACUGCCCCACACAGCACUGCCCCAUAGAUCCCAGACCCACAGCGA